rnacentral:rRNA from 1 species
CAGCCGCCGCGGGAAUACGAAGGGUGCAAGCGUUACUCGGAAUUACUGGGCGUAAAGCGUGCGUAGGUGGUGGUUUAAGUCCGUUGUGAAAGCCCUGGGCUCAACCUGGGAAUUGCAGUGGAUACUGGGUCACUAGAGUGUGGUAGAGGAUAGUGGAAUUUCCGGUGUAGCAGUGAAAUUCGUAGAUAUUCGGAAGAACACCAGUGGCGAAGGCGGCUUACUGGCUCAUUCUAGACGCUGAGGUGCGAAAGCGUGGGGAGCAAACAGGAUUAGAUACCCGUGUAGUCCCUGUCUCUUAUAU